GCAGAGCAUCCUACGGGAGGCAGCAGUGGGGAAUAUUGCACAAUGGGCGCAAGCCUGAUGCAGCCAUGCCGCGUGUAUGAAGAAGGCCUUCGGGUUGUAAAGUACUUUCAGCAGUGAGGAAGGUGGGUAUGUUAAUAGCAUACUCAUUUGACGUUAGCUGCAGAAGAAGCACCGGCUAACUCCGUGCCAGCAGCCGCGGUAAUACGGAGGGUGCGAGCGUUAAUCGGAAUUACUGGGCGUAAAGCGCAUGCAGGUGGUUUGUUAAGUCAGAUGUGAAAGCCCGGGGCUCAACCUCGGAAUUGCAUUUGAAACUGGCAAACUAGAGUACUGUAGAGGGGGUAGAAUUUCAGGUGUAGCGGUGAAAAUGCGUAGAGAUCUGAAGGAAUACCGGUGGCGAAGGCGGCCCCCUGGACAGAUACUGACACUCAGAUGCGAAAGCGUGGGGAGCAAACAGGAUUAGAUACCCCGGUAG
rnacentral:rRNA from 1 species